AACGAACGCUGGCGGCGUGCCUAACACAUGCAAGUCGAACGAGAAAGGGGCUUCGGCUCCGAGUAAAGUGGCGCACGGGUGAGUAACACGUGGGUAACCUGCCUCUAAGAUUGGGAUAACUCGUCGAAAGAUGAGCUAAUACCGGAUAAGACCACAAUUCCCGCGGGAACAGGGGUCAAAGGUAGCCUCUGCUUGCAAGCUAUCACUUAGAGAUGGGCCUGCGCACCAUUAGCUAGUUGGUAGGGUAACGGCCUACCAAGGCAAAGAUGGUUAGCUGGUCUGAGAGGAUGAUCAGCCACACUGGAACUGAGACACGAUCCAGACUCCUACGGGAGGCAGCAGUGGGGAAUAUUGCGCAAUGGGCGAAAGCUUGACGCAGCAACGCCGCGUGAGUGAUGAAGGCCUUCGGGUCGUAAAGCUCUGUCGGGAGGAACGAAUGCUCCCAAGGUUAACAGCCUCGGGAGGUGACGGUACCUUCAAAGGAAGCACCGGCUAACUCUGUGCCAGCAGCCGCGGUAACAC
rnacentral:rRNA from 1 species